UGCUGGGAGCUUUUUCUGUGACAGCGGGCUAAAGUGCAUAAAUACCCACUGCCAGUAACUGCAUGAAGACUAGGGUUGCGCUAGUAAUUAGGGAAGUGCCAUUUGGUUUUUUUCUCUCCUGUGUGGUUGACACUGUGCUUCUGGUUUGGUGUACUCAAUUGGAGUGAGAGCAGGUUGAUGUUCGUCCAUAGUUGGUUGACUGUUUGACUUUGGUUAACAUUGAUGAAUUAUUCCAAGUCCCAAGGGAGGAGCUUCUAGAUUGCUAUACUAAAGACCAAAUGUUACGAAUUGCGACACUUUAUAACAUUGAGAUUGAUAAUAAACGUCUGAAAGAGAUGUUUAAGUCCAUACUAAAGGCCAACUUGAUCGAAUCCGGCAUUCUAAUGGAGUCGUUUUCUCCUGGUUUGGCUACGUUUCAGUCCACUACAAACUCCCCUAAUCCUGUGGUGGAAAAGGAGGCUCUUGCCCUGAUCUGGGCUCUCCAACACUUCGGUGUGGGUACGGGUGUAGUGCCUCUAGUUGCAUAUACUGAUCACACCCCACUCACCUUUUUGCACUCUAUGCAGUGAACGAACCAGAGGUGCCAUGGUUGCUGGAGGUGUGGGUGGUGGACCUGGGUUGUUGGAUGUCCAGGGAGUGAGAUUGGUGGGCGGAGCUGGGUGGGUUGUCAGUGCUGAUGGGUCACACCUGUGAAAGCUCAGCUGUGGCAUAAAGCCACUGUUUCCCCAUUCAGCAAGAGAUUCCUCUCUCCAUGCAUACUCUUGGUUGUGUCGUUGUGGCUUUUGCAGUUGACACCUAAUUUACCGCCAUUUAUGCCUCAUCUGAUUAUUGUUGCAUGUUUACUUUAUUUAUGGAAUAAAUUCAUUUUGUUA